rnacentral:rRNA from 1 species
GAUCUGGCUCAGGACGAACGCUGGCGGCGUGCUUAACACAUGCAAGUCGAACGAAAAGACGGAAAGAGCUUGCUCUUUUCAGAAUUGAGUGGCAAACGGGUGAGUAACACGUAAACAACCUGCCUUCAGGAUGGGGACAACAGACGGAAACGACUGCUAAUACCGAAUAAGUUCCAAGAGCCGCAUGGCCCAUGGAAGAAAAGGUGGCCUCUACCUGUAAGCUAUCGCCUGAAGAGGGGUUUGCGU